rnacentral:tRNA from 1 species
CAAAGAAUAGUUUAUAAAAAUAGUAAUUUUGGAGAUUACAGAUAAAGAAUUUCUUUUUCUUUGA